UGGCCAGGCACCAGUCCUCUGCCUCCUUCUGUGCCUGCCUGGCUGCCCCUGCCCUGGGGCUCCCGCCUGGCCCCCACCUCACCUACUGGCUCACUGAGACAGAGCCAAACAUGAAAGGGAAGGUGAUGGCCUGGCCACAGGGCCCAGGAAAAUGCAGAUGCUGACAAUAUGACAGUGAAUACAAUGUGAAAAAAACAAAAAACAAGCACACUUCUCACCCCCAUGGAGCUUUAUUCUGGUCAGGCAGAAGGAGAAGGAAAUGUAAACAUACAAGGAGCAACUUUUUGGCACUCCCGUUUUGCAGAAGAGGAAACAGACUGCCUGGGUCUGCUGAUUCCUGUCCUUGGGAGCUCACUGCCCCAUACUCCCACCCUUGUACACAAAUGGAGGUGCUCUUACAGAAGUUCUGAGCCUGAUUCUGCUGCUGCCUCUCCAGCUAACCUUAGGAUGUGUCCCCGUCAUUAGGUGAUGCAUGACUGUACUCUGACAUCCUCUCCAGCUUUCAUCUGUUUUUAUUUUUAUGAUGUGCUGAAGACAGGACACUGUAUCUGCUCUUCCCUAUGUAAGUCUUGCCAUGCCCUUUGGCCAAAGGCAACUCAAAUAUGGACUUCCUACUGUCACCAUCAAGGUCACUAUGAUCUAAGUGUUUUUUAGGGCUUGUGCAGAGAAGGAAGAAGAUGCCCCCUGCCUUCUCUGCUCCCCAUCAUGUAAGAGAUAAGACACAGGCUGAGCCCCAGGAGGAGAGAUCAAAGCUUUAUAUCUGAAAGGGUGGUUCCAGCCCAGCAGCAUGAACAUGGCCUGGGAAGAUGUUAGACAUGCAGGUUCUCAGGCCCCACCCCACACCUGCUGGAUCAAAAACUCUGAUUUCUGCACUUGAGCAUACAUCACUCAAGUUUGAGAACCACUGCAUUAGAGAACAGAAACCCUCGACCAUAGCAUGCAGGAACAGCAAAGCCAUGAGGACACAUCCAGGUCUGAGGAAGUCAUUUUAGCCUGGAAAGGAAAAGAAGGAGGGCAUCAUCGGCGUGGGCUUUGGGACCCCCACGCUCAGCACUCCUGAAAGCAUACAGAGAGGGAGGUCUGGGGUCUGGAAAAACAACAGGAAUCUUGGGAAUUAUAAGGCUGAGAAGGAGGUGGGGGGGGAGGGGGGCAACGUGCCUGGCUGCUGCUCAGGCCUCCUCACUGGCAGGGGGUCCCAGCAGCCUUGUUCCCCAGGCCCAUGCUGAAUUUGCUAGUGAUGCUGGCAUUCCUAGCUGUGGUUCAGCACCAAGGUCCAGUGACCCCCCAAGACCCAGCCCAGGGCCAUUUCCCUAAUAAAGACCUAACCAGAGGGCCAGAGUUUGGGGUGCUGAGGCAUUGACUGUGUAAGGGCCCCAACCCACUACCCCAUCCGCUGU